rnacentral:rRNA from 1 species
UACAGAGGUCCCAAGCGUUGUUCGGAUUCACUGGGCGUAAAGGGUGCGUAGGUGGUGAGGUAAGUCGGAUGUGAAAGCUCGGAGCUCAACUCCGAAAUGGCAUUGGAAACUACCUUGCUCGAGGGUUGGAGGGGGACUGGAAUUCUCGGUGUAGCAGUGAAAUGCGUAGAUAUCGAGAGGAACACCAGUGGCGAAGGCGAGUGCCCUGGACAAUUCCUGACACUGAGGCACGAAAGCUAGGGGAGCAAACAGG